CGCGGCGGUAAACAUGGCGAACGGCUAGCGGAGUCGUUGCGUUGCAGUCAGUCCUGAAGGCUUUGGUUUUCUCUUUCAGACUCAAACAAUACAUUUUAUUUUAUUUGUGGUACCUGGAGGUACCACAAAGGGGCUGUGCUCUGUGGGCUUUAUUUAAACAAAAGGGUAAAGGAAACGCACCGGCAACAUGGGGCGACGUUCAACCUCCUCCACCAAGAGUGGGAAGUUUAUGAACCCCACCGACCAGGCCACUUUCAGUCUAUCAAGAUGGACCAGCUAACAUUUGAGAGGGAGAAUCGUGAGCGUAUCCAGGCAGUGGAGAAUUCAUUUGGUCCUUCGGGGCAGCCCCUGUACCACGCAGGCCGGAUUCUGAUGGGAGAAGGCCGUCUGAUAAAGCAGGGUCGUCGGAAGCCUGAGUGGAAGGUUUUCUUUCUUUUCAAUGAUGUGCUGGUGUACGGCAGCAUCAUUCUCAAGGGCCACUGGUACAAAAAUCAGAGGAUCAUCCCUCUAGAGGACAUCCAGCUGGAGGACGCGGAGGAUGGUUCGGCACUGAAGAACCAAUGGCUAAUCCGUACACCAUUCAAGUCCUUCUUUGUGUCCGCCCCUUCAAAGGAGGAGAAGCACGCCUGGAUGGGUCAUAUCGAAGAGUGCCGAUCCGGGCUGCUGCUGACCGGCAUCUGCCAACCCGGCACCAACUUUGCUGUUUCCUGGAUUCCAGAUCAGGCCGCCUACAAAUGCAUGCGCUGCCUCAGCAAGUUCACUGCAACCAAUCGUCGACACCACUGCCGGAAAUGUGGUUUUUUGGUCUGUAAUUCCUGCUCCAGGAGCCGGGCAGUGAUAAGCCACAUUCACCCAUCUAAGAAGCUGAGGGUCUGCAGUCUCUGCUACAAGAGGAUUGAUGAAGAAGAGAUGUCUCGUGUGAGGGGAAACAGCACGGAAAAGACCAGCUCAGAGGAGGAGGAUGAGGGGGAGGAAGAGGUGAUGAUGCAGGACCACUCUCCCAGCAGCUGGCUGGACUCCCAGCUGGGCACAUGGGGACAACUGAACAUUUAUGAUUACCCAAGAUCAGUGGCCACCCAGUAAAACAGAACCACAUCAAGACUUCUACAGCCUCUCAGACAUAAGAUAUGUUUCAAGAUAUAGAAAAAUGAUUUGUCUGUGUUUUGUGGGUUUUCCACAAAAAAAAAAUGGUGAGAGGAAGUUUCUUCAGGUAUUACACUUCACAGCUGCCCUUUUACUUUGAAAUUAUCUAUGUACAAUAAAGCACAUAGAAACAGCUAAAA